GGUUUUCUUUUGUUUCAUAUAUAUAUAUGCAUGUUGUUAUCUCUACUUGGUGAAGAAACUUCAAGCCGCAACCUUCAGUGAAACUCCACGCACGGAACCUCAGCCUCCCAAAACUCCUUAAGAGUUCACCACUCCAGCCGUGCACCACCGAAGGUAACCCCACUGUCUGGUUGUCCACACCGCAACCUCCCAUGAAGCUGCACCCUCACGAAAACCACCUCCUCACGGCCACAGUCCACGGUAAAAGCCCAGACCAUCCAACACUGCCGAGAUCUCGUCUGCACGACGGAAGACAAGCCUCUAUCACCCUCUAUUUCAGGCACCUCAAAACAGAGCAAGGAAAGCUCUCCCUGUGUGCCUUCUUUUUCUUAACCAUGUUACAUGACAGAAGCCACCGUACGUAGCUCCAGACCGAUCGCACGCCUCUUCACUGUCCCUCGAUUUUGAUGCUUCAGCUGGGAGCCAAGAGUAGGAACUGUUAACAAUAUUCGAUGAUCGUUGAGGACUAAGUGCCAGAGGGUACAAGUAGUUAUUGGGGAGUUUUAUUUGAUAAAUUUAUUAUUUAUAUCAUUUUGGUGUUUUGAGUUAUGGAUAUUUAUGAGUGUUGGAGAAGACUUUAAUUUAUUUUAUUGAGGUUUUACUUCGGUAUCUUGAUGGAAGAACAAGUACACUUGGUUUGAAUAAAUGAAUUUAUUAUUUUGGAGUC